AGAGAUAUAUGCCAAAGAGAAAGCUUCUAACUUAACUCCUAAGCGGUUAAAUUCCGUUUACUUCUC
rnacentral:tRNA from 1 species